AUGGCCUCUCCUCUCAUACUUCCCCUCCUUCUCCUCCUCCUCAUCCUGCCGCUUUCCGCCCCAUGGACGGCGGCCGACGACGACGGGGCGGUGGCGAGGUCGGCCUUCCCCAUGGACGGCGACGUAGCGUGGGUGGUGCAGGUCAGCGACCUCCACAUCAGCGCCUACCACCCGGACCGCGCUGCCGACCUAGCGAGCCUCCUCGGCACCGCCCUUCGCACCAUCCGCCCCCACCUCCUCCUGGUCUCCGGCGACAUCACCGAUGCAAAAAAUAGUAAAAGAACUACAUCCAGACAGGAUGCAGAUGAAUGGAUUACAUACAAGAAAACUAUUGAUGCAAUUGUUGCAAAAGGCGGUAUUGAUAAGAGGAGGAUAUUUGAUAUUAGAGGCAAUCAUGAUACAUAUGGAGUUCCCUAUAGAGGAAGCGAGUUGGACUUCUUUUCAACUUACAGUGUUAACUCACAGCUUGGCCAAUUAAGCACCAUUAAUAGCAUAAUCCUCCAGGGAGAUAGAAAUUAUCUAUUCCUGGGCAUAGAUGAUACAAUGAGUGUUGGCAUUCGGUUUCCUUCUAAUUUAUUUGGACACCCAACUGAUAAGAGGAUAGAAGCAGUUAACUCAGAAUUACAGUACUGGACCAAUCAUUCUAAUGUUCCGAUUACAAAAGUUGUAUUUGGACAUUUCCCUAUGUCGUUUACUACUUCGUCUGAAGUAGGACAGCGUUACGAAAGUGUGUUUGCAAGGCAUUCAAUUUCAGCAUACCUAUGUGGCCAUCUGCAUGCGAAAGUUAGUAAUCAGCUUUGGAGGCAUCAUCAAAUGAGAACAAAAGAGCGCUCUUCAAGCUUUUGGGAAUGGGAACUUGGAGACUGGAAAGAGUCCAGAUUGAUGAGGAUUUUAGCAAUAGACGGAGGCGCAGUCUCUUUCAUUGACCAUACGUUAAAACAGCCAUUCCAAACUUCUAUCUUGAUCACCUAUCCAACAGAUUCAAGAAAUAUGAAUAUAUUGGAAUCAAACAAGGGGCCACCUAGAAAUGAUAUAAACGCUCUUGUUUUCUCUGAAGAACUUAUUGUCAAUGUGAGUGCAAGAGUUUUUGAUUCUCAUAAUGAGUUCAAGAUAGUUGAGGAGAUGCCUCUGCAACUUGUUGCCAACUCUUCUGGUCACAAACCUUUCUUCCAUGCCAUGUGGAAUGCUAAAAAUUACAGAAGUCCGUCUCCUACUCGCUACUGGUUGCAAGUGUUUGUGCUAGAUUCUAAUGGUAAGAAGACUGUAAGUGAGCGAAGACCAUUUUCAGUUGAGGGCAAGAUAGCGAUUCUACACCGCCCAUGGCUCAACCGUUUGAUAUUUGAAAUUGAAUGGGAAGACGCUUAUAGAGUUCUUCUCUGGAGUAAUUUGGCCUUCACCAUUCUGUUGUUGCUCAUUCCCCAAAUCCUGUACCAUUUUUUAAAGAAAAAGUCAUCAUAUCAAAGGUGGGCCUUGUCAGUUCUAACAUCCCCUGUCCAGCAGCGAAAGGCUUGGUUUUGGUUGGUCUUGUUUUUAAUGGAGGGUGCAAACAGCAAACCGUUCUGGUUUUCUUUGUCCCUGUAUGUUCUUUGGAUCACCCAGAUGCCGUGGUUUUGGGGUCAUGCAACAUCUGAAAAUGGAGAAAUUGCUCAAAUGUACAUAUCUGGAUGGAGCGUACCUUCUUUUGGUAUGGCAAACUACAAGCUGAGCAGCCCAGAUGUGAUGGUGAUCACCCUGCCUUUCCUAUACCUGGUGGUUGUCCCUGUAGUAGUCCUUGCAUAUGGCUUGUUUGCAGAAAGGGCCGCGGCUUAUUUGCAGUACCAUAGAAGAGCAGAAGACAGAGCUAACACAGCAGAUACAACCGCUGAGGCAGCACGCUUUCUGCCAGGUUCUCCAGCUCCAGGAGCUUUAAUGAACCUAUCUUGCAAGAACAAGAUAAAGUUUGUGUUGAUCAAAUUUUUUGGUGGCUGGACAAGGAGGAUAAUUCUACUCGCGUGUUUGAUCACGGCCAUGAUACAUUUGAAGCUUUCUUCAAUGUUAAUGUCAGCCUAUGGGUCAACACCAGUUGCCUUGUCUCCUCCAUUAACAUGGAUGCCACUAUUACUAUUAAGUGUUGCUGCCUACUGUACAAUGCUCCCUGUAGGUUAG
rnacentral:rRNA from 1 species